GACACCAUCAGCAUGACUGACUUUCUGUGCCAGUCAGCUGCGAUAGGGGCUGGUGAUCCUCCAGGUGCUGUGGUCUUCAAAAUCCCCUUGCAGGUGCAGGUGCUUGAGGCGGAGGAGGAGCCAGAUGACACCAUCAGCAUGACUGAUCACACAGGUGAUCCUCCAGGUGCUGUGGAGGAUGACGAUGAACCCGGACCCCUCGUCACAGAGACCAGCCAAUGUGACUCAAGGGGCGUUGUGGGAUGGGAUGCGGUUGCUAACCUUGCAGGCUACCUAGUUGGCUUGAAUCGCACCAUCACUGCCUUGUCAAUGAAGGAGGAGGCGGACAUAGUCC
ensembl:lncRNA